UUGGCAGUGCAGAAUGAAAAAUAGUUAAGAAAGUCAGUUGUAAAUAGUGCAGCGUAAGAAAUACUGCAGAAUGCCAGAAGCUGCCAAGUAGAGAUGUGAAAUGAAGUCUGUUGACACCAACCACUGCUAGUAAGAAGGGAAAGAGCAGAUUAUGUAAAGAAACACUGAGACAUAAGACUGAAUCAGAGGGCUGGAAACUAUGUUGGCCAGAACACUGUACUGAUACUUUAAUUACUUAUACACAUGAGAGUUUUGGCCAUUGUGGAUCAACCAAAUGCAGAGAAAGGAGUAAAGAAAACAUCUACUUUUAUAACAUAGGAAGGAGAGUCAACAAGAAGAUUGCCAGCUGAGACAGAUGUCAAGGAGUGAAGGGUUUUAUGUGAAUACUAGACAGGAUGUUUCUUACAUGUUGGAGUGUGUGAUGAGAACUCUAGGGAGGAAACUGGAUGUGGUCGCAUUCACUCCCCACUGGGCUGUAUGGCUGUACUCUGCUAAACCAGUCAACCUACAAGAAAUCAUAGAUGCUGGGUUAUGUAAUCAAGCCUCUGUCAAUUACAUCAGUGAGGUGACUGAUAUUUGUGAAUUGUUAGCCAACACUGGUAAAGACAGUGUUAUUUCAUAUAAAUGUAUGUUUUUCCAAGUAGGGGGAUUGACUUUCCGGUACGUUACGUAACUUUGAGUCAGUAUGUAUUUUUUAUCAAUUGUAAAUGAAUCUUCUAGGACUUUAUGUGUGUAGGUUAAUUG